UGCAGAUGAAGGACGCAACU
rnacentral:misc_RNA from 1 species